AGACCCGAAACCCGGUGAUCUAGCCAUGGGCAGGUUGAAGGUUGGGUAACACUAACUGGAGGACCGAACCGACUAAUGUUGAAAAAUUAGCGGAUGACCUGUGGCUGGGGGUGAAAGGCCAAUCAAACCGGGAGAUAGCUGGUUCUCCCCGAAAGCUAUUUAGGUAGCGCCUCGUGAAUUCAUCUCCGGGGGUAGAGCACUGUUUCGGCUAGGGGGCCAUCCCGGCUUACCAACCCGAUGCAAACUGCGAAUACCGGAGAAUGUUAUCACGGGAGACACACGGCGGGUGCUAACGUCCGUCGUGAAGAGGGAAACAACCCAGACCGCCAGCUAAGGUCCCAAAGUCAUGGUUAAGUGGGAAACGAUGUGGGAAGGCCCAGACAGCCAGGAUGUUGGCUUAGAAGCAGCCAUCAUUUAAAGAAAGCGUAAUAGCUCACUGGUCGAGUCGGCCUGCGCGGAAGAUGUAACGGGGCUAAACCAUGCACCGAAGCUGCGGCAGCGAACGUAUCACCCAAGACAACUUUACGGAGUUGACGAUUGACGGAGCGAAGCGACGUCAAAGCGUUCAUUAAAGUCGAGUUGGCUUAGGGAUACGUUCGUUGGGUAGGGGAGCGUUCUGUAAGCCUGUGAAGGUGUGUCGUGAGGCAUGCUGGAGGUAUCAGAAGUGCGAAUGCUGACAUAAGUAACGAUAAAGCGGGUGAAAAGCCCGCUCGCCGGAAGACCAAGGGUUCCUGUCCAACGUUAAUCGGGGCAGGGUGAGUCGACCCCUAAGGCGAGGCCGAAAGGCGUAGUCGAUGGGAAACGGGUUAAUAUUCCCGUACUUGGUGUUACUGCGAAGGGGGGACGGAGAAGGCUAUGUUGGCCGGGCGACGGUUGUCCCGGUUUAAGCGUGUAGGUGUGUGUUCCAGGUAAAUCCGGUUCACUUUAACACUGAGGCGUGACGACGAGGCACUACGGUGCUGAAGCAACAAAUGCCCUGCUUCCAGGAAAAGCCUCUAAGCAUCAGGUAACACGAAAUCGUACCCCAAACCGACACAGGUGGUCAGGUAGAGAAUACCAAGGCGCUUGAGAGAACUCGGGUGAAGGAACUAGGCAAAAUGGUGCCGUAACUUCGGGAGAAGG
rnacentral:rRNA from 1 species